AUCCUAAACAUGAAAGAGCAGUACUAAAUGCAUCAUUCUAGGCCAUGUAAAUUUAAAAAAAAAAUUUAAAUCAGGUCCAAAAAGAGUUUUAAGCCCAAUCGAAUUUGCCACCAGCUUCACAUGGCAAUAAUUUCACAUAGAGAUACAUGGUUGAUACACCUAUUAAAAGUCUUGUUGCAUUUUUUCUUUCUUUCUUUUUUCCGUUUUCAAUAUGCUUCAAUUUCAUGAUGCAAACGGCCUUACAUCUGGCGGUUCAUUUUGCUUAAAGCCAGAAUACUAUUUCCAUCACCAUUAAUAAAUACAAGGCAUGCUCCCUAAUUUAUUCUUCCCUUUGCUUGGAAAUAUGUACUACAAAAAAGCAAGAGUAGGACUAAAAAGUGGAGAUUCUUAUGGAAUGAAAGAAAUGCAAUCAACUCUCACACUAUGAUGAACUGCAAUUGAGCUGGUACAUCACAAACUGAAUUGAUAGGACAAUGAUAGUGACAAUAUUCUUAGCAAGUUCGGGUCAUGUAUUACAUAUAAGGUGGUCUUAACAAAGGAGCUCAAUGAGUUAGAACUACAGCCUCACUGUCCCAAAGUGAAACGGUCAAAGCUUGUAAUAAGCUCCAGCUAAGGAAGCUCCUACAACCAGGUCAUAUUCCUAAUUGACUCUGUUUUUGAGAAAUCAGGAUACUUUGGGUGGAUUUUCCUUCACAUGAAUAAUUGGAUUCAUCUUCUAAAGUACUCUUGGGAGUGAGGAAUCCUUCUCAAAAGCCUUGGAAUCGAGCACAAAUUUGAAAUUUCAAUCUGCAUUGAGGAUAUGGGCCCGGUUUCAUCCAAAAGCUUCCUAUAGUUGACUAAUUCAUGAACUUGAAAAUUUUGGAGGAUAGAAGAACAAGCACAUGUCUUCUGCAAGCAUUUGAAAACUUGUGCAUCAGUGCAUCAAUGGUUGUUGCUAGUGCUCAUAGAGAUUCAAAUAUGUGAAAUGGUAAUUGUGAGAUUGAAAUCCUAACCAUGAGACUAGCAGACGAGUCUUGGUGAACUUGAGAGUUUUGCCAUUCUCUUUCCUUGUGGAUCAUUCUCAAUACAAGUUGUUCUCCCAUUAUGUUUUAACAGUAUGUAAUACUCUAAAUGGUAAAUUAUGCCUCAAUUGAUCAUCUUUGAAUUACAAUUAGAUGUUAUUAAUGUUUA